CUGCGGCCGGAGGCAAAGUGCGUAGAGGCCCGCGACAAAGCCCCUUGAGGCUUUCUGGAAACCUGCCUGUUUAAAACAGGUUUCCCCGAUCAGUUUCAGAUCAGUUGUCUGCCUGUUCCGGAGGUUGGAGUUGUUUCGCUUGGGGGGAAAAGGACUCUUCAUUACAGCGUAGAAACUAGCUGCUUUUUGUGUCCUGAGGGCUACUUAGGACCGAACCUGGCGGGGGCGUUGGACGCGUGUUCCCGACGGAAAUAGGCAAGACCCGGAGAAACUGUUGCGCUUAAGGUUUUGGACACUCUUACAAUGGGUCAAGAAAGACGUUAAUGGACCAGCCUUCGGUUUAUAUGUAGGCAGUGGCAGAACCAGCAACAAAAUCCAGAUGCAGUGACUUCAGGUAAGAACCAUUGAUAUAAACCUGUGUGGCACCCUUUUGAGUAUCUUGGAGGUGAACUCCAGUUUGGGUCUGGUAUCCCGUAGCCCUGUGCUUUAGGGGAGCCUCACUCUGGCACCAGGGAUGUGAAUCCUGAUUAGUUUUAAGUCAGUCACCAGGCCAGGUACUGUUGUAGGAGUGGAUGGAUGACAUAAUUAUGGCCAACAAAAUGUGUGUGUGUGUGGGGGGGGUACUUUGCUUAGAAUGCUUCUGGAAAAGAUUUUCCUUGCUCUUAAAAA